ACAGAGGGUGCAAGCGUUGUUCGGAAUUACUGGGCGUAAAGCGCACGUAGGCGGUUUCUUAAGUCGGGGGUGAAAUCCUGGAGCUCAACUCCAGAACUGCCUUCGAUACUGGGAAACUUGAGUUCGGGAGAGGUGAGUGGAACUGCGAGUGUAGAGGUGAAAUUCGUAGAUAUUCGCAAGAACACCAGUGGCGAAGGCGGCUCACUGGCCCGAUACUGACGCUGAGGUGCGAAAGCGUGGGGAGCAAACAGGA
rnacentral:rRNA from 1 species